rnacentral:ribozyme from 14 species
AGAGGACAGAACAAAAAGUCCCAAACUCGGAAUUAUAUUCUCAUCAUUAUUGUCCCUUCAGUUGUUUUCUGCUGUGUUUUAUUUUUAUUUUGCAGUAUCCUUUUUCGGAAACGACGCAAUAGGUUUGGAAAAGACGA